rnacentral:rRNA from 1 species
AGUGAACGCUGGCGGUAGGCCUAACACAUGCAAGUCGAACGACAGCACAGUAAGAGGUUGCUCUUACGGGUGGCGAGUGGCGGACGGGUGAGGUAGACACCGGAAACUACUUUUUCCUGGGGGAUCACGUAGGAAAACGUACGCUAAUAACGGAUUCACCCUACGGGUGUGAGCAGGGGUUCGUCCACCCUCGCGCGAGUGUAUGAGCCGAGGUCGGAGUAGCUAGUUGGCGGGGUAAAGGCCCACCAAGGCGACGAUCCGUAGCUGGUCUGAGAGGAUGAUCAGCCACACUGGAACUGAGACACGGUCCAGACUCCUACGGGAGGCAGCAGUGGGGAAUAUUGGACAAUGGGCGCAAGCCUGAUCCAGCCAUACCGCGUGGGUGAAGAAGGCCUUCGGGUUGUAAAGCCCUUUUGUUGGGAAAGAAAAGCAGCAGGUUAAUACCCCGCUGUUCUGACGGUACCCAAAGAAUAAGCACCGGCUAACUUCGUG